GGAGGGAAAUAAAUGACUGGAUGGUCGCUGCUUUUUAAGUUUCAAAUUGACAUUCCAGACAAGCGGUGCCUGAGCCCGUGCCUGUCUUCAGAUCUUCACAGCACAGUUCCUGGGAAGGUGGAGCCACCAGCCUCUCCUUGCCCUAGCAGAUGCUAAUCCAGCGUGCGUCCUGACAGAGGUUGAAGGGGGCUUCUCAAGUCCCAGGUCCAGCUUGGUGUGGUUCAGCUACUCAAGAGACAUCUGCUGCUAAUGGAUGAGCAGUCAACCUGGACGCAGGAAAUCAUUUUUUAUUUGGACAAGCAAAGUGGAUCAGCAAAGGCUGCAGUCACCAGCAUCUUUUCCAACCUUAAUGAACUGUAUCCUCAAAAGAACACUAUCAGACUGGCUCUGCCGACUUCCAGUUCUGGAACAAGAUGGUUAAACUCAUUUUUCCCUGCUCUGCUCCUCUAAAUACAACUAAGUACCUUGGAAACUAUUCAGCAGACAAUGAUAAAGGGCUCUGAAAGCUAGAAGAAAAGGUGUACUUGCAAGAAACCUCAGGACUUGAGUAACAGCAACAUGGAGCCACACCGGUGAGGGCAGGGAGAGGGUGCUGGUUCUGAGCCAACUUUGCAUGGAAGGCCCAGCAGACCACGCUCAUUACUUACAGCCAGCAUCAUCGGGGAACUCCGGCACAGACCUGUAGUCAGUGCCCCACAGCGCCCCAGCCUUCUCUCCCGACAGGAGUGGCCAGGACAGGGAGCAGAAGGUGACUGCUGUGCUGCCUGGAGCUCUUCUGUCCGGAGGCUUAGUGAAACUAGAGAAACUCAGUGGACACACUACAAGACUUCAGAGAUACUUUUUGUAAACCCAGGAAGAAUCAAAGAUAUGAAACAUGCAGUAGGCACUCACUAAAUGUUAAUUUUCUUCCUUUUUAAAUAUAUGCAUUAUGAUAGUUAAAUUAAUGACUGCACGACUGGAAGAAUACACACUCUAAUGAUUCUUUUCCCUAAAAUAAAUGUGUCCACUAUUUGCUGUCUA
ensembl:lncRNA CYTOR cytoskeleton regulator RNA